GGAGGUAGCGCAGGCGGUUGCGGACUGGUGUUUGCCAGUCUGAGGAAAGUCCGGGCUCCCGAAAGACCAGACCUGCUGGGUAACGCCCAGUGCGGGCGACCGUGAGGAGAGUGCCACAGAAACAUACCGCCGAUGGCCUUUGGUCAAUGACUUGAGGGCACAGGUAAGGGUGCAAGGGUGCGGUAAGAGCGCACCAGCAGCAUCGAGAGGUGCUGGCUAGGUAAACCCCGGUCGGGUGCAAGGUCAAGGGGCAAGGUUGGUCUUUUUCCGGCCCCGUCGUUGAGUACCGCAAGAGGCGUCUGGCAACAGGCGUCCCAGAUAGAUAACCGCCCCCCCGGCAGCGGGGGAACAGAACCCGGCUUAUGUCUACCUCCUUCC
rnacentral:RNase_P_RNA from 1 species